rnacentral:rRNA from 1 species
GUCCACAGCCAUGCCACCCUGAACACAACCCAUCUCCUCUGAUCUAGGAAGCUAAGCAGGGUCAGGCCUGGUUAGUACUUGGAUGGGAGACCACCUAGGAAUACUGGGUGCUGUAGGCU